AAAAAUCUUUAAUUUAAUCGAGAAUUCAGACAGUUGCUGGACAAAAAUGUGUUUGUUGAAGUUUUAGCUCUGGGUCGGUCUUUUUUUAUUCUUUUCCAUCUUGUUCGUAAAUUUCUGUUCCUUUUUCCCUUUGUCGGUCGGUGGAGCAGGUUUUGUUAAUCUGCAAGACUUGAUUGUCUCUUCUCGGUCAACGUAUGAGGGAUAUGUUGGCAACUUUUAGAUCUGCCAUGGUCAUAGGAGCACGGUGCCGACGAUGGAGCAAGGCAUGUUGCAGGAGCAGAGUAUUGCUUGAUUCCUUUUGGUUUUGAGAUAUCUGAUUUAGCACCAGUGCCUUAAUUAGUUGGGAAACAAGGUGCUAGUAUUUUUGAGAGUUUCAUCAAGUCACAAGAGCAGAUGUUAUCAUCAAUAAGGGGCUUCAAUCAACUGAGUGCUUUAUUGAUAUUUUGAAAGACUUGUAAAGUUUUUGCAUACUGGUUGCAACUCUUUGGUGUUUUAUUGAUGCUACUCAUAUUUUUCACUUAAUAAAAAGGGCCUCCAAUCAACUAAAGUCAGAGAUGGAUAAGGUAGACCUUCUUGAACAGUAUUUUGACUGUGAGAUAGUACCUCCUUCAUUGGUUGAGCUUGCCCCUAUUCUUCGUGUUGUAAAUGAAGUUGAGAAGAGCAGCCC